rnacentral:rRNA from 1 species
ACGCUCGACACCUACGAGAGGCAGCAGUGGGGAAUAUUGCACAAUGGGGGAAACCCUGAUGCAGCAACGCCGCGUGAAGGAAGACGGUUUUCGGAUUGUAAACUUCUGUUCUUAGUGAAGAUAGUGACGGUAGCUAAGGAGCAAGCCACGGCUAACUACGUACCAGCAGCCGCGGUAAUCUGAGCGGGCUGGCAAGGC